rnacentral:rRNA from 1 species
CCUACGGGGCGCAGCAGUGAGGAAUAUUGGUCAAUGGCCGUAAGGCUGAACCAGCCAAGUCGCGUGAAGGAAGAAGGAUCUAUGGUUUGUAAACUUCUUUUAUAGGGGAAUAAAGGUAUCCACGUGUGGAUAUUUGCAUGUACCCUAUGAAUAAGCAUCGGCUAACUCCGUGCCAGCAGCCGCGGUAAUACGGAGGAUGCGAGCGUUAUCCGGAUUUAUUGGGUUUAAAGGGUGCGUAGGUUGUUUUUUAAGUCAGCGGGGAAAGUUUGUGGCUCAACCAUAAAAUUGCCGUUGAAACUGGAAGACUUGAGUGUGUUUGAGGUAGGCGGAAUGCGUGGUGUAGCGGUGAAAUGCAUAGAGAUCACGCAGAACUCCGAUUGCGAAGGCAGCUUACUAAGCCAUAACUGACACUGAAGCACGAAAGCGUGGGGAUCAAACAGGAUUAGAUACCCCAGUAGUC